AUUGAACGCUGGCGGCAUGCCUUACACAUGCAACUCGAACAGUAACGGGCCUUCGGGUGCCGACGAGUGGCGAACGGGUGAGUAAUACAUCGGAACGUGCCCGAUCGUGGGGGAUAACGAGGCGAAAGCUUUGCUAAUACCGCAUACGAUCUACGGAUGAAAGCAGGGGACCGCAAGGCCUUGCGCGGACGGAGCGGCCGAUGGCAGAUUAGGUAGUUGGUGGGAUAAAAGCUUACCAAGCCGACGAUCUGUAGCUGGUCUGAGAGGAUGAUCAGCCACACUGGGACUGAGACACGGCCCAGACUCCUACGGGAGGCAGCAGUGGGGAAUUUUGGACAAUGGGCGCAAGCCUGAUCCAGCCAUGCCGCGUGCAGGAUGAAGGCCUUCGGGUUGUAAACUGAUUUUGUACGGAACGAAAAGCCUUCUUUUAAUACAGGAGGGUCAUGACGGUACCGUAAGAAUAAGCACCGGCUAACUACGUG
rnacentral:rRNA from 1 species